rnacentral:rRNA from 1 species
UACAGAGGUCUCAAGCGUUGUUCGGAUUCAUUGGGCGUAAAGGGUGCGUAGGUGGCGGGGUUAGUCAGGUGUGAAAAUCUCGGAGCUCAACUCCGAAACUGCACUUGAUACUGCCUUGCUAGAGUACUGGAGAGGAGAUUGGAAUUUACGGUGUAGCAGUGAAAUGCGUAGAUAUCGAUAAGGAAGACCAGUGGCGAAGGCGAAUCUCUGGACAGUUACUGACACUGAGGCACGAAGGCCAGGGGAGCAAACGGG